ACACACCGCUGCUUCGGCUGCCCGUGACUCCGGCUCAUCCGGCUCGCAGCAGCACUUCGAGUUGCACCGCGAGCGCACGCUGUCCGCCUCCCCCGCGACCCUCGGCGACGCCACGAGGGGAACCGAAGUUUGUGUGUUCAUUCGGCGCUGUUUCUUUUACCCUGCACUUUGUUAACUCUUUAUUGUUCCUCUUUCCUUUGGAUUCGGGAGUGACUGACGUCCCAUCAGCGACUCGAGGCAGCGGCAGCAUCAUGCCCAAGUGGAGGUACAAGUUCCUGCUUCGGGAGCGCGUCCUGCCCCAGGUGUGAGUGUCUGCGAGGCCCCGACGGCGCGGCGGCCGUCACGGGAGCUCAAACUUUGGUGACGCGAACUUUUUCCAGUGCAGAACACUCGAUGAAAAGAGGCGAGAGCUAUGUCGUUCACGAGAAAAGCGAUGCUCAGAGAAAAUGCCGAGUUGAUGGGACAUUACUGCCCCAUUCAUCCCUUGUAAUGAUCCUGGGAAUAACGCACAUUUUGGCUUGUCCCCAGCGGCCGUGUGAUUAGCUAGUGGCACGUUCAGAGAAAGUAACACGAGGAAACAGGGAUCCCAGCUGAACAUGAGCUCCGCGGCAGGGCCAGCGGCGGUCGAGUGUUGACGUGUGAGGAGGAAUGGUCGCCCUCCGGCCCGGCCGCCUCGUCACCGCCGCCGCCACCGCCAAGCGCGCCGAGAACCAGUUUUGCCCGGGCGGCCUCACGCGGCCACGAUGUUCUUCUACCAUCAGCUGCUGCUGCUGUUACUGCUGCUGCUGCCCCCAUCACUGCUGCUCUGGUCAUCACAUUUGCUGCUGCUGCCCACUGCUGUCCUCAGCCACGUCUCUGUAGACGCCAGUGUGUGAGCAGGAGGAACUCCCCCUCGACCAGCUUCCGCCCAUGACGUACUCCAUCAUCCUGCAGGCUUGCGUCGACUCGUACCGACACCGCAACCUCUCCGCUCACGACCGCUGGUGCAACGCUACUUGGGACAUGGUCUUAUGCUGGCCACCAACACCUGCCGGAGAGAGCGCUCAGUUACCGUGUCCACCGCAUAGGGGCGUAGAUCCUAG